GACGAACGCUGGCGGCGUGCUUAACACAUGCAAGUCGAGCGGUAAGGCCCUUUCGGGGGUACACGAGCGGCGAACGGGUGAGUAACACGUGGGUGACCUGCCUUUAGCUCUGGGAUAAGCCUGGGAAACUGGGUCUAAUACCGGAUACGACUCCGCGGUGCAUGCUGUGGGGUGGAAAGCCUUGUGCGGCUGGAGAUGGGCCCGCGGCCUAUCAGCUUGUUGGUGGGGUGAUGGCCUACCAAGGCGACGACGGGUAGCCGGCCUGAGAGGGCGACCGGCCACACUGGGACUGAGACACGGCCCAGACUCCUACGGGAGGCAGCAGUGGGGAAUCUUGCGCAAUGGGCGAAAGCCUGACGCAGCGACGCCGCGUGAGGGAUGACGGCCUCGGUU
rnacentral:rRNA from 1 species